CUUUAUCUUUAUUUAAGAAAUAUUUUGCAAUACAGCUUGGCAAUUAUAUACUUGGAAAUUUAUAUAUAUAUAUAAAGCUAUAUAUAUAUGACUUGAUAUAUAUUACAGAAAAUAAAAGUGAAAAACUUAUUAAGCUACUUAUUCCACGGUGGCUUAGGCAACACACCCAAACGCUUAUGACAACCUCAAAUAUUCGUAAGGAAACGCACACCGACUCAUGCAAUUUGCACCUUCAAUUAGGACAGGUGCGAACGACAUUGGGGCGAUCAGCAGACCAACUAAGGCCUAAUCGAAAAGUGGGUGGGAUAGUUGGAGCAUGGUGUUAUAUGAAGUUACACAAAAUAUGGGUCUACUACAUAAAACACUGUGAAAUAACUUAUAUGCGCUUAUCAGCUUGCAAAAUUUCAAUUUCAAAGUCGAGGUGAAAUCAAGAGCAAUAAAACGACAACGAACAAAAAUAAAGAAACCCCUGAUAAGAGCGAUCUAACCCAAUAAAAAUAGAAAUAAAAGCUUAAAUAAUCUGAAAUUAAACCGAACUGGAACGGGUCCGAGAGCUAUAAUAUAUUUGAACACAAAUUGCGAUUGCUGGCGCUGCUGAUACUUCAAUCUCGUUAUUGCUGUUGUUGUUAUGUAGAUUAGAAAUCUCGAGAAUUGUUUAUAAAAAGUCUUGAAGAACAGGGACAGGGGCAACGACACGUGCGCCCGCAGCUGGACAAAUAAGAAAUUACCUUAUAUAUAGAUACUAUAUGUUUUUGUUUAUAGAUACAUACAUAUAUCUCUCUGUGUACGUCAGGCAACAUCAUCAUGUUCAGCGACUUUUGAGUGAAUGGGAGAUUAGAGGGAAAGUCAGGUGCAUGACGGCCAAAUCCGUAUAAACAAACAACUGGAUAUAGAUAAGGAAAAGUAAAUCCGUCAGACUAUACGUGUUCUACUCAAGUCAUGCUUGUUAAUGGCUAUCAUGUUUAAAAUGUGCUCAAACCGCCUGAAAUUAAAAUCUACUAAGCAUC